CGGCGUGCACGUGCUCGGCUCGGGGGCGCGCGUUCUGCCCGAGCGUGGCGCGGUGUUCGACACCCUGCGCGCCGA
rnacentral:tRNA from 1 species